UUGGGAGAAAUAUCUGAGUUGCGUGUGGAUCAUGCGGACAUGUUCAUGAACUGAGUUGUAACAGACCCGUAUGGGCGACAUGCUGUUCUUCCUCGUUUUCCAGCAUAAUUCCACCGAUUUUCCCCAAACUUCUUCAUGUGUUCUCGAUUUUCCUCUGCUGUUUGUCUCGGAGUCGAAUUGGUCGUGUCACCCUUGCCCUCGAUAGGAUCUACUCCCUCCCACCCUAGAUUUUCCCCUGUGAUUUUGCUGUGGUUGGUGCUUCCGCGUUGUUAUUUUUUGCGGUAGCUAGGGUUGAAGUCCGUGUAUUUUGUGAUGUUAUCACGUAAGAGAGAUUGAUCUGCAAUCUGGAGCUGCUGAUGUAUGGUAUGCAGGCAGUGUUGGUCGGGGAUACCUGUCGUAUGCUGUGCAGAUAUAUUUGCAAUCGGGUUGAUUAGGUCCUUGUUUAGUAUUAGAUGUUCCUUUCUCUUGGGUGCAAUUGCUUACGCAGUAGUGCUGCUUUGGCUGUUGUGUGAUGAUGUAUGUAAGUUGUAAUUAGUAUUUUUAUAGGUGUUUCAUUGUAAUACAGGAUUGGGUGAGGACAAUGUAUCUCCAUUGUUUUUUCUGAAGCUGGAAACGAGUACCCACCUUCUUAUGGAAUUUGUUUGCUGAUUUGCUUUUUACAGGCCAGAGCUGCUAGGAAUCUGUGGGUUGGUGGCAUUAGCCCAUCGGUUUCAAAGGAGGAGCUCCAAAAGUUUGGAAAAAUUGAAGGUGUUGCAUUCUCCCUGGAUCAGACUUCUACAUACAUUGAUUUCGAGAAGCUCGAAGAUGCAAUUUCUGCACACAUAUCCUUGAAUGGAAAAAUUUUAGGCGGCACGGAAUUGUGUGUUGAUUUCCAGAGGUCCAAGGGAAUGGUCAGAGGCAAGCAACUUCAGCGGUAGAGUAUCAGGGCCACCGGGUGAAAAGAGAGGCACUGGUCCUGCAAAGGGUUCCACUGGAAUACGAAUGCGAGAAGCACAGCCAACCUAUGUUCUCUGGGUUGGUUUCCCGGGUUCAUCUAAAGUUAUUGAUUAGGAAGCGCUUCAGCAAGCCAUGGUACCAUACGGUGUGGGGAAGCUGUUGUUCUUGCUCAUGGAUAUGGCGCAUGCUCUUACUAUGACAUUGCAAACCAUGAGUUCAAGACCGAAUACAAGCCUCCCAACAUGGUAUCAAAUAAUAUGUGGGGUUAUUGCUGGUUGAUUCGUGCCCCAGGUGUAGAUGGAUGCUCUGGAAGAUAUGUUGUUGCGGCAUCAGCUGGCAAUGCAUUGGAGCCUGGUUUUUGCAGCUGGGACUAUUAUACUAGAGAAGUAAAAGCAUUUCAUGUUGAAGAGGAGAUGUCACAUGCUUCUAAUGUAGGUCCAGGGCUGUUCUUGGGCCUCUUUCUAAUGUAGGUCCAUCAAGAUCUAGCUCUGCAUUGCCAAAUGUAGAAAUACAGCAAUGGUGGUAUAGACCCUGUGGUCCUCCUCCUUUCUACUGCUAGCAAGCAAAAGAUGGUCACAGCUUAUGAUACCCGUGAUGGUGAUCUAGUCAUGAAAUAGGAAGUGAACAACCCAGUAAUGGGAAUGGAAUACUCCAGCCCACUACAAUGGCGUAGCAAGGGAAAAGUAGUAAUUGCUGGGAAUGAGUCGAUAGGUUUGUGGGAUGUGAAUUCGCUUAACCCACAACCCUUAUUAUUUGUUUCUUCUUCUGCUAAGAAAGUGUGCUGCGCCUUCAUGCGAAUAACACUGAUGCUGAGGUGGGUGGCGGAGUUCGUCAAA